AUUGUGAAGACCUCUCUGCUCUCAGACUUGGCUCAUUGUGAAGACCUCUCUGCUCUCUAUCCUUCCUGGGUCACCGACUGUCCAGAGAAUGAACUCCCAGAGCUUCACUCUGCUCCUCGCACUGCUCAGUGUCCUGACACUGACCUCCACUGCAUAUGAAGCCCCUUGCACUGGACAGGUUUGCUGCAUCAGGUUCACAAAGCACAAAAUCCCAAAGAAAUUAAUCAGCUCCUACUGGAGAACCAGCAGCUGCUGCCUCACAAACGCUGUAGUGUUUGAGAUAAAGAAUGGAAAGAGAAUCUGUGCUGACCCCAGCGUGCACUGGGUGAG